rnacentral:rRNA from 1 species
UACGAAGGGGGCUAGCGUUGCUCGGAAUUACUGGGCGUAAAGCGCACGUAGGCGGCUUUCUAAGUCGGGGGUGAAAUCCUGGAGCUCAACUCCAGAACUGCCUUCGAUACUGGAGAGCUCGAGUCCGGGAGAGGUGAGUGGAACUGCGAGUGUAGAGGUGAAAUUCGUAGAUAUUCGCAAGAACACCAGUGGCGAAGGCGGCUCGCUGGGCCGGUCCUGACACUGAGACGCGAAGGCGUGGGGAGCGAACGGG